UACAGAGGGGGCUAGCGUUGCUCGGAAUCACUGGGCGUAAAGCGCACGUAGGCGGACUCUUAAGUCGGUGGUGAAAUCCCCGGGCUCAACCUGGGAACUGCGUUUGUGACUGGCAGGCUAGAGUAUGGCAGAGGGGGGUGGAAUUCCACGUGUAGCAGUGAAAUGCGUAGAGAUGUGGAGGAACACCGAUGGCGAAGGCAGCCCCCUGGGCCAAUACUGACGCUCAUGCACGAAAGCGUGGGGAGCAAACAGG
rnacentral:rRNA from 1 species